rnacentral:rRNA from 1 species
CCGGCCAACUACGUGCCAGCAGCCGCGGUUAUACGUAGGGUGCGAGCGUUUUCCCGAAUUAUUGGGCGUAAAGAGCUUGUAGGCGGUUUGUCGCGUCUUCCCUGAAAACUUGGGGCUCAACCCCAAGCUUGCGGGCGAUACGGGCAGACUUGAGUACUUCAGGGGAGACUGGAAUUCCUGGUGUAGCGGUGAAAUGCGCAGAUAUCAGGAGGAACACCGGUGGCGAAGGGGGUCUCUGGGAAGUAACUGACGCUGAGAAGCGAAAGCGUGGGUAGCGAACAGGAUUAGAUACCCUGGUAGUCCACGCCGUAAACGGUGGGUACUAGGUGUGGGUUUCCUUCCACGGGAUCCGUGCCGUAGCUAACGCAUUAAGUACCCCGCCUGGGGAGUACGGCCGCAAGGCUAAAACUCAAAGGAAUUGACGGGGGCCCGCACAAGCGGCGGAGCAUGUGGAUUAAUUCGAUGCAACGCGAAGAACCUUACCUGGGUUUGACAUACACCGGAAACCUGCAGAGAUGUAGGCCCCCUUGUGGUCGGUGUACAGGUGGUGCAUGGCUGUCGUCAGCUCGUGUCGUGAGAUGUUGGGUUAAGUCCCGCAACGAGCGCAACCCUUGUCCUGUGUUGCCAGCGCGUAAUGGCGGGGACUCGCAGGAGACUGCCGGGGUCAACUCGGAGGAAGGUGGGGACGACGUCAAGUCAUCAUGCCCCUUAUGUCCAGGGCUUCACACAUGCUACAAUGGCCGGUACAGAGGGCUGCGAUACCGUGAGGUGGAGCGAAUCCCUUAAAGCCGGUCUCAGUUCGGAUCGGGGUCUGCAACUCGACCCCGUGAAGUUGGAGUCGCUAGUAAUCGCAGAUCAGCAACGCUGCGGUGAAUACGUUCCCGGGCCUUGUACACACCGCCCGUCACGUCAUGAAAGUCGGUAACACCCGAAGCCGGUGGCCUAACCC